rnacentral:rRNA from 1 species
AUUGAACGCUGGCGGCAGGCCUAACACAUGCGAGUCGAGCGGAUGAAGGGAGCUUGCUCCUGGAUUCAGCGGCGGACGGGUGAGUAAUGCCUAGGUAUCUGCCUGGUCGUGGGGGAUAACGUCCGGUAACGGGCGCUAAUACCGCAUACGUCCUUAGGGAGAAAGUGGGGGAUCUUCGGACCCCACGCUAUCAGAUGAGCCUAGGUCGGAUUAGCUAGUUGGUGGGGUAAAGGCCUACCAAGGCGACGAUCCGUAACUGGUCUGAGAGGAUGAUCAGUCACACUGGAACUGAGACACGGUCCAGACUCCUACGGGAGGCAGCAGUGGGGAAUAUUGGACAAUGGGCGAAAGCCUGAUCCAGCCAUGCCGCGUGUGUGAAGAAGGUCUUCGGAUUGUAAAGCACUUUAAGUUGGGAAGAAGGGCAGUAAGUUAAUACCUUGAUGUUUUGACGGUACCAAAAGAAUAAGCACCGGCUAACUACGUG